rnacentral:rRNA from 1 species
AGCAGUCGCCACGGGAAUACGGAGGGAGCUAGCGUUGUUCGGAAUUACUGGGCGUAAAGCGCGCGUAGGCGGUUACUCAAGUCAGAGGUGAAAGCCCGGGGCUCAACCCCGGAACUGCCUUUGAAACUAGGUGACUAGAAUCUUGGAGAGGUCAGUGGAAUUCCGAGUGUAGAGGUGAGAUUCGUAGAUAUUCGGAAGAACACCAGUGGCGAAGGCGACUGACUGGACAAGUAUUGACGCUGAGGUGCGAAAGCGUGGGGAGCAAACAGGAUUAGAUACCCCAGUAGUCCCUGUCUCUUAUAC